CACCGCGGUUAUACGAGAGACCCAAGUUGUUAGACACCGGCGUAAAGAGUGGUUAGGGAAGUUCAUCCGACUAGAGCCGAACACCUUCAAAGCUGUUAUACGCACCCGAAGGCAAGAAGCCCAACUACGAAAGUGGCUUUAUGUUAACUGAACCCACGAAAGCUAGGACA
rnacentral:rRNA from 1 species